rnacentral:lncRNA from 1 species
CAAUAUUUGAUAUAAUAAGUCCGGUGACGGUUUUAUUUCACACUUUAAUGACAUAGGUGGUGUACAAUUAAUAGAAGGGCAGUUCAUCACAGCCUCGUUCUGAAUAAAUGUUAGCUUCCUGCUCUUCUAUUCAUUAUGAGGAAAUACAUUAAAAAGGCGACGAAAUUAUCUUUAACAAGCAAUAUGUAAAAGUUAUAGCAAUAUAAG